UACGAAGGGGGCUAGCGUUGCUCGGAUUGACUGGGCGUAAAGAGCUCGUAGGCGGUGUGUCGCGUCGGCCGUGAAAACCUGCAGCUUAACUGUGGGCGUGCGGUCGAUACGGGCAUCACUGGAGUUCGGCAGGGGAGACUGGAAUUCCUGGUGUAGCGGUGAAAUGCGCAGAUAUCAGGAGGAACACCGGUGGCGAAGGCGGCAUCCUGGACCGGCAUUGACGCUGAGGCGCGAAAGCCAGGGGAGCAAACGGG
rnacentral:rRNA from 1 species